rnacentral:rRNA from 1 species
AGAACUAUGUCUGUGAGCGGCACACUGCUCAGUAACACGUAGCUAACCUACCCUUAGGACGUGGACAACCCCGAGAAAUUGGGGCUAAUCCGCGAUAGAUGUAAUGUCCUGGAAUGGUAUUACGUCCAAAGGUAUCCCAUACAUGUUUGGUAUACGCCUAAGGAUGGGGCUGCGGCCGAUCAGGCUGUUGGUGAGGUAAUGGCUCACCAAACCUUUGACCGGUACGGGCCAUGAGAGUGGUAGCCCGGAGAUGGACACUGAGACAAGGGUCCAGGCCCUACGGGGCGCAGCAGGCGCGAAACCUCCUCAAUGCACUUACGUGCGAAGGGGCUACCUCGAGUGCCACCUGAUGAAGGUGGCUUUUCCUAGGUCUAAAAAGCCUUGGGAAUAAGAGGGGGGCAAGACUGGUGUCAGCCGCCGCGGUAACACCAGCCCCUCGAGUGGUGGGGAUGAUUAUUGGGCCUAAAGCGUCCGUAGCCUGCCGUAUAAGUUUCCCGUUAAAUCCAGCGUCUCAAGCGUUGGACCGCGGGAAAUACUGUACGGCUAGAGAGUGGGAGAGGUCAGCGGUAUUCUGGGGGUAGGGGCGAAAUCCUUUGAUCCCCGGAGGACCACCAGUGGCGAAGGCUGCUGACUAGAACACGUCUGACGGUCAGGGACGAAAGCUGGGGUAGCGAACCGGAUUAGAUACCCGGGUAGUCCCAGCCGUAAACGAUGCAUGCUGGGUGUUGGGUUGGCCACGAGCCACCCCAGUGCCGCAGGGAAGCCGUUAAGCAUGCCGCCUGGGAAGUACGAUCGCAAGGUUGAAACUUAAAGGAAUUGGCGGGGGAGCACCACCAGGCGUGAAGCCUGC